rnacentral:tRNA from 1 species
GGUUGUGGCUCAGUGGCAGAGCACUUGCCUAGCAUGUAUGAGGCACUGGGUUCAAUCCUCAGCACCA